CCUACGGGAGGCAGCAGUCGAGAAUCAUUCACAAUGGGGGAAACCCUGAUGGUGCGACGCCGCGUGGGGGAAUGAAGGUCUUCGGAUUGUAAACCCCUGUCAUGUGGGAGCAAAUUAAAAAGAUAGUACCACAAGAGGAAUAGACGGCUAACUCUGUGCCAGCAGCCGCGGUAAUACAGAGGUCUCAAGCGUUGUUCGGAAUCACUGGGCGUAAAGGGUGCGUAGGCUGUUUCGUAAGUCGUGUGUGAAAGGCGCGGGCUCAACCCGCGGAAGGCACAUGAUACUGGGAGACUAGAGUAAUGGAGGGGGAACCGGAAUUCUCGGUGUAGCAGUGAAAUGCGUAGAUAUCGAGAGGAACACUCGUGGCGAAGGCGGGUUCCUGGACAUUAACUGACGCUGAGGCACGAAGGCCAGGGGAGCGAAAGGGAUUAGAUACCCCGGUAGUC
rnacentral:rRNA from 1 species